rnacentral:rRNA from 1 species
UGGGGAAUAUUGCGCAAUGGGGGAAACCCUGACGCAGCGACGCCGCGUUCGGGAUGAAGGCCUUCGGGUUGUAAACCGCUUUUGAUUGGGAGCAAGCUUUCGGGUGAGUGUACCUUUCGAAUAAGCGCCGGCUAACUACGUGCCAGCAGCCGCGGUAAUACGUAGGGCGCAAGCGUUAUCCGGAAUUAUUGGGCGUAAAGAGCUUGUAGGCGGUUCGUCGCGUCUGGUGUGAAAGCCCAUCGCUUAACGGUGGGUUUGCGCCGGGUACGGGCGGGCUAGAGUGCAGUAGGGGAGACUGGAAUUCCCGGUGUAACGGUGGAAUGUGUAGAUAUCGGGAAGAACACCAAUGGCGAAGGCAGGUCUCUGGGCUGUUACUGACGCUGAGAAGCGAAAGCGUGGGGAGCGAACAGG